GGCUCUUUGUUUAUCGAAGAUAGGGAGUCGUACCUGCCCGGUGAAUUGUUUUAACGGCCGCGGUACUCUGACCGUGCAAAGGUAGCAUAAUCAUUUGCCUUAUAAUUGAAGGCUGGUAUGAAUGGUUUGACAAGAAUAUAACUGUCUCUUUUUAAUUGACUAAAAUUUGAUCUGUGGGUGAAGAAGCCCGCAUACAAUUGAUAGACAAGAAGACCCUGUCGAGCUUUAAAGAAGUUAGUGGAUUAUAGGUUAAUAGGCUUAAAAAACAAACUACUUUAUAUUUUAGUUGGGGCGACUAAGGAACAGACAAAGCUUCCUUUUUUAAAAAAGCGAAUCGGCAAUGAGCCAGAAAGUUCUGAUCAGAAAAAUUAGUUACCGCAGGGAUAACAGCAUAAUUCUCUUCAAGAGCCCAUAUCGAAAAGAGAGUUUGUGACCUCGAUGUUGGACCAGAAUGUCCUAAAGAUGUAGCAGUCUUUAAGGGUUGGUCUGUUCGACCAUUAAAAUUCUACG
rnacentral:rRNA from 1 species